CGCCCCUCGAUGUCCUCAAUGUCCGGACCCUCAUACGGCACUGAAAGUAGAAUCGGUAACUAUAUAGACAUGAAACUAGAGCUGACAUUUUAGACCCUAAAAAGUGAUGGCAGGAUGUGCGUAGGCCGAUUGACCGACUCGAACAGGACGCUAGCUGUCACUGCAUGGUAUGGACAUCACAUGGAUUACUGUUUCUGAUCUCGUCAACAUCACACCCUGCCAGCUUUCAACUCGUCUUUGAACAAUGAAUACCUCAUCACCAUUCAACGCGAGCUACGAUGAUGCCAACAUUACGAUGUCGCCGAUGACGGACGACGACGACGAUGGUGAUGGGUCCGAACCGUCGUGUAAAACGCCUUUAUAUUACAUUAAACUCGUCACGUUGGCAAUUGCGAUGUCGAUGAUGAUCGCCACGCUCAUCUUGAUUCCGUGUCAUCGUCGACUUCGUAAGCAGCAUCAUAUCUUUCCUUACAACCUCGUACUCUCCGAUAUGUGCGGUGCCAUCGUGAUGGCAUGUUUCGAAGGGUUCGUUGGAUUCGAACCUCCCU